rnacentral:sRNA from 1 species
UUAUUGCGUUAGGGAUAGAAACGGCAUCCUUUUUUGCCUAUCACCGAUAAGCAAUUAGCAAAAAAGAUACAGUGAAUAGCCCGUUAAAAC